rnacentral:misc_RNA from 1 species
GGACUUUGGUAUAUCACAUUUGAAGCUUAAGGAUCUAAUUGAUUUCUGUAAAGAUAUUGGAUUGCAGUCCAGUGUGGCUGCUAGCAGAAAUGCCACUAUUAAACUUUGGGUGCUUUGCAUAAAUUUGUUGGUCCAGACAUCAAAGGGUUUCUUGCUGAUGUUAAACCUGCUCUGCUUAGUGCUCUAGAUGCUGAGUAUGAAAAAAAUCCUUUUGAG